rnacentral:rRNA from 1 species
UACAGGGGGGGCAAGCGUUGUUCGGAAUUACUGGGCGUAAAGGGCUCGUAGGUGGCCAACUAAGUCAGACGUGAAAUCCCUCAGCUUAACUGGGGAACUGCGUCUGAUACUGGAUGGCUUGAGUUUGGGAGAGGGAUGCGGAAUUCCAGGUGUAGCGGUGAAAUGCGUAGAUAUCUGGAGGAACACCGGCGGCGAAGGCGGCAUCCUGGACCAACACUGACACUGAGGAGCGAAAGCCAGGGGAGCAAACGGG